rnacentral:miRNA from 1 species
UCCUAGCCCAAACAUUGGCACGGUUCCCGCUCUGGCCCUGGGAAAGUGCUGCAUUGUUUGGGUA